rnacentral:rRNA from 1 species
GGUAGUAGCAAAUAUUCAAAUGAGAACUUUGAAGGCCGAAGAGGAGAAAUGUUCCAUGUGAACGGCACUUGCACAUGGGUAAGCCGAUCCUAAGGGACGGGGUAACCCCGGCAGAUAGCGCGAUCACGCGCAUCCCCCGAAAGGGAAUCGGGUUAAGAUUUCCCGAGCCGGGAUGUGGCGGUUGACGGUGACGUUAGGAAGUCCGGAGACGCUAGCGGGGGUCUCGGGAAGAGUUAUCUCUUCUGCUUAACGGCCUGCCAACCCUGGAAAUGGUUCAGCCGGACGUAGGGUCCAGUGGCCGGAAGAGCACCGCGCGUCGCGCGGUGUCCGGUGCGCCCCUGGCGGCCCAUGAAAAUCCGGAGGACCGAGUACCGUUCACGCCUAGUCGUACUCAUAAUCGCAUCAGGUCUCCAAGGUGAACAGCCUCUGGCC